CUUUCUUAAUUUUAUUUUUGAAUUUAAAUUUUCAGUAAAAAUGCUGAAUUGUAUUAGGAGGACGAGAAGACCCUAUAGAGCUUUAUAUAUUUAUUAAUUUUAUUGGUAUUGUUGUUUAAUAUUAUAUUUUGUUGGGGCGACGACGAAUAUUUAAACAUUCGUUAAUUUUAUCUUAUUUAAUAGGUUGUAUGAUCCAUUAAUAAUGAUUUAAGACUAAGUUACCUUAGGGAUAACAGCGUAAUUUUACUAUAGAGUUCUUAUCGAUAGUAAAGAUUGCGACCUCGAUGUUGGAUUAAAAUUCCUUCUGUGGCGUAAUAGUUCAGGAAGGUAGUCUGUUCGACUAUUAAAAUUCUACA
rnacentral:rRNA from 1 species